AUGUCAGGGAGGAAGAAGACCCGCGAGCCCAAGGAGGAGAACGUGACGCUCGGCCCCGCCGUCCGCGAGGGGGAGCACGUCUUCGGCGUCGCGCACAUCUUCGCCUCCUUCAACGACACCUUCAUCCAUGUCACGGAUCUGUCCGGGAGGGAGACGCUCGUCCGCAUCACCGGUGGCAUGAAGGUGAAAGCUGAUCGUGAUGAAUCAUCCCCUUAUGCAGCUAUGCUUGCAUCUCAGGAUGUUGCUGUAAGAUGCAAGGAGCUUGGAAUUACUGCUCUGCACAUUAAGCUCCGUGCUACUGGUGGAAACAAGACAAAAACUCCAGGUCCUGGUGCUCAAGCUGCGCUUAGAGCUCUUGCACGUUCUGGCAUGAAGAUUGGACGCAUUGAGGAUGUUACCCCGGUUCCAACUGACAGCACUCGCCGGAAGGGUGGUAGAAGAGGAAGGAGGCUGUAA
rnacentral:rRNA from 1 species